rnacentral:tRNA from 1 species
AGGGGGUUUAGUACAAUGGCAGUACGAAUUAUUUGCAGUAAUUAGAUUUGAGUUCGAUUCUCAAAAUCUCCA